GACGAACGCUGGCGGCGUGCCUAAUACAUGCAAGUAGAACGCUGAAGGAGGAGCUUGCUUCUCUGUAUGAGUUGCGCACGGGUGAGUAACGCGUAUGUAACCUGCCUGUUAUCGGGGGAUAACUAUUGGAAACGAUAUCUAAUACCGCAUAAGAGUAGAUGUUGCAUGACAUUUUCUUAUAAGGUGCAAUUUCAUCACUACCAGAUGGACCUGCGUUGUAUUAGCUAGUUUGUGAGGUAACGGCUCACCAAGGCAACGAUACAUAGCCGACCUGAGAGGGUGAUCGGCCACACUGGGACUGAGACACGGCCCAGACUCCUACGGGAGGCAGCAGUAGGGAAUCUUCGGCAAGGGACGGAAGUCUGACCGAGCAACGCCGCGUGAGUGAAGAAGGUUUUCGGAUCGUAAAGCUCGGUUGUAAGAGAAGAACGAGUGUGAGAGUGGAAAGUUCACACUGUGACGGUAUCUUACCAGAAAGGGACGGCUAACUACGUG
rnacentral:rRNA from 1 species